UUGCUUUGGCAGCACAUAUACUAAAGUUGGAGUGAUAGAGGGAAAAUUAGCACGGCCCCUCUGCAAGGAUGAGAUGCAAAUUCGUGAAGCGUUCCAUAUUUUG